ACCUGACGUUAGCUACGUCGCAGGUCACUGUUCAGGUCUAAUUAUAAAGAUAGGUCUGAGUCUCACACUGUUUUCCACAUUCCAAUGUCCAACUUAGGAUCAAGGAAAAUAAACUUAGCUACAGGGCCAUUCUUUCUUAUUAGAAAUCAUUUCAUCCACUCAUUUGGUAACAAAGCAUACUUGUUAGUGUGUCAAUCACUGAGCACUGAUAUUGAGUUUUUUGUUCAGUGCAAUUAUUGUUGUUGAGAAUUAUUUAUGCUAUGGGAAUAUGAUGUAUAUGGAUUUUUUUUUUUUUUUUUUUUAAUGUCCAAAAGCUGUACAUCCCUGCAGAAGUUGGUGUUGUAUGUUGCAAAUGUUUCAAUCUAUUGUGGUUCCCAGGGUUGUCAUAAAAAGACCAUGUCUCUCCUUUUGUUCUGUGUCUGUGAUAUAACAAACAGCUGACACCUUGUUUUGUUACUGUACAAUAUUGUGUAUUUGUAAUAAUGGUUUACUGCUUUUUGUGUGUGUCAUCAACUCAUUGAGGGUUUCAUCCAACAGACCUCAUGCUUUACAGCUGUAUGUGAAUGUUGAUAUUGGCUACAAUACACAUUUGUAUAAUCUUAUUGUUGCAAUAGUUGUUUUUUUUAUACCAAUAUGAUAGUUAGGCUGUCAUUUUAAGCAUAAUAGAUUCGUAUGAAUGUUUAAAUCAUUUAAUUUAAAAAAUUAUUUUUUUUUUAUUUUAUACACACAAAUGUUUUGGCGUUCUUCAUCAGAAGAAAAUGUCAAAAAAAAAAAUCUGUUGGUUUGUUUUGUGGAUACUUUUUGUACUGAUUAUUUAUUAAACCUUGUUAUUUACUUUUAUGCUUCUUUUUUU